GGGGCUGAUUCUGGAUUCGACGGGAUUCGCGAAACCCAAGGUGCAUGCCGAGGGGCGGUUGGCCUCGUAAAAAGGGGAUCAAAGAGAGGUCAAACCCAAAAGAGAUCGCGUGGAUGCCCUGCCUGGGGUUGAAGCGUUAAAUCUAAUCAGGCUAGUCUGGUAGUGGCGUGUCUGUCCGCAGGUGCCAGGCGAAUGUAAAGACUGACUAAGCAUGUAGUACCGAGGAUGUAGGAAUUUCGGACGCGGGUUCAACUCCCGCCAGCUCCACCA
rnacentral:tmRNA from 1 species